rnacentral:sRNA from 2 species
CGCGGGACCGUGCGGAAACCGGAACCGGGGACCCACCAAGUCCCAUCGGCCCGCAUCCCAGCGGGCCAGGGGUGAAUCGGUCCGCCGCGUACCCCCCUCGCGGCAGCCGUAGGGCACGCUUCUCAGCCCGAACCCGACAGCUAACCCGGUAGGCGGAAGCGAGAAGAAGA